AGCAGCCGCGGUAAUUCCAGCUCCAAUAGCGUAUAUUAAAGUUGUUGCAGUUAAAAAGCUCGUAGUUGAAUUUCGGGAUCAAAUUGUCGGUCGUGCCUCGGUACGCACUGGUAUUAUUGGUUCCUACCUUCUGAAGAACCGCGAUGUCAUUAAUUUGGUGUCGUGGGGAAUCAGGACUGUUACUUUGAAAAAAUUAGAGUGUUUAAAGCAGGCUUACGCUUGAAUACAUUAGCAUGGAAUAAUGAAAUAGGACGUUUGAUUCUAUUUUGUUGGUUUCUAGGAUUGACGUAAUGAUUAAUAGGGAUAGUUGGGGGCAUUAGUAUUCAAUUGUCAGAGGUGAAAUUCUUGGAUUUAUUGAAGACUAACUACUGCGAAAGCAUUUGCCAAGGAUGUUUUCAUUAAUCAAGAACGAAAGUUAGGGGAUCGAAGACGAUCAGAUACCGUCGUAGUCUUAACCAUAAACUAUGCCGACUAGGGAUCGGAUGAUGUUAAUUUUUUAAUGACUCAUUCGGCGCCUUACG
rnacentral:rRNA from 1 species